rnacentral:misc_RNA from 1 species
AGAGCAACUCUCAAAUGUUGCUGAAUAUGGAUCAUCUAUUCUGGGAACAUAAACCUGAUUGCCAUAAGCGUCUCCAAAUGCGAGACUGAUAUGGUCUCGGGUAUACCGUGUUGAGGAACAGCUUGUCGUUAUCUGAACUGUGUAAGAACAGCUAUUUGCAUUCUGGGUGGUGUUGAUCUUGAAGGAUCUGAAAGGCUGCGGCAGA